rnacentral:rRNA from 1 species
UACGAAGGGGGCGAGCGUUGUUCGGAAUUACUGGGCGUAAAGGGCGCGUAGGCGGCGACCCAAGUCAGAUGUGAAAGUCCUGGGCUUAACCUGGGGACUGCAUUUGAUACUGGGUUGCUUGAAUUCGGGACAGGAUAGCGGAAUUCCCAGUGUAGAGGUGAAAUUCGUAGAUAUUGGGAAGAACACCGGUGGCGAAGGCGGCUAUCUGGACCGACAUUGACGCUGAGGCGCGAAAGCGUGGGGAGCAAACAGG